UACCCGACAGAGUUUGAUCCUGGAUAGAAAACGCGGGCGGCGUGUCUUAAGCAUGCGAGUCGAGCGGAGGAGCAGCAAUGCGCUGAGAGCGGUGGACUGGUGAGUAACGCGUGGGUAAUCUACCUUUGGCAUGGGGAUAGUCCUCUUAAAUAGUGGGUAAUACCGAAUACGUUCCCUGGGGGGAGGUUUCAGGGAAGAAAGGGUGCUACGGCACCGGCCGGAGAUGAUCUCGCGUCCCAUUAGCUCGUUGGUGAGGUAACGGCCCACCAAGGCGAUGAUGGGUAGCCGGCCUGAGAGGGUGUACGGCCACACUGGGACUGAGAUACGGCCCAGACUCCUACGGGAGGCAGCAGCUAAGAAUAUUCCGCAAUGGACUAAGGUCUGACGGAGCGACGCCGCGUGGAUGAUGAAGGCCGAAAGGUUGUAAAGUCCUUUUGCUGGGGAAGAAUAGGUGUGGGAGGGAAUGCCCGCAUGAUGACAUGAACCGGCGAAUAAGCCCCGGCCAACUACGUGCCAGCAGACGCGGUAACACGUAGGGGGCGAGGCGUUGUUCGGAAAUUACUGGGCGUUGAGGSCUUGUAUGCGGUCUGGUAACGCCUGUUGUGAUAGGGCCUCAGCUCUUCUUGUGGGUAUUGCGUUGGGGAACUGCUGUGCCUGGAGUUAUGGAGAGGGAAGCUUAGAGUUUCCUUGGGUGUAGGGUGGAAAUCUGUAAAUAUCAGGGAAGAUAACCUAUGGGGGAAGGCGAAGUUCCUUUGGCC
rnacentral:rRNA from 1 species